rnacentral:rRNA from 1 species
UACGGAGGGAGCUAGCGUUAUUCGGAAUUACUGGGCGUAAAGAGCUCGUAGGUGGUUUGUCGCGUUGUCCGUGAAAACUCACAACUCAAUUGUGGGCGUGCGGGCGAUACGGGCAGACUGGAGUACUGCAGGGGAGACUGGAAUUCCUGGUGUAGCGGUGGAAUGCGCAGAUAUCAGGAGGAACACCGGUGGCGAAGGCGGGUCUCUGGGCAGUAACUGACGCUGAGGAGCGAAAGCGUGGGGAGCGAACAGG